GGUGGGACUUCGCCUCUCUAUACAUGCAAAGAUAAUACAUGUUUGAAUCCUCAUGUGAUCUAUGUCAAGAUAAAAACAAAGAUAACGAAUACAGGAAUUCAAAGUAGCGUUGAGUGAAGAGAACAUCAAUCUGGAGACGCUGAGGGAGCUGUGCUUCAGCGGAAUCCCGUUUGAAGGAGGCAUACGAGCCCUUUGUUGGAAAGUAAAUACACCGUUGUGCACCACAUGCAAUAAUAUGAUUAACCUCUCGUUCUUUUAGCUGCUAUUCAACUCUCUGUAGAUUUGGGGACUAGCACCAGGGGCGGAUCUAGUCAAA